UUUAUUAAAUUAAUUAAUCUCUCGAUUAAUUAAUACCAAUAAUUAAAUCUACGGGUUUAAUUAAAGUGAAUGAGUUUAUGAAAGAGAGAAGGAAAAUAGGAUGCAUAUCCUAAGAGCAUAUCAUCCGCUAUUGUUAUUUCUUUGAAGCUAAAUAGUUUAUUAUCUUUUAUUGGACAAGGUCCAUCGCAAGGAAUUUAACUCCAAGUGGGUUAAUAUUGUCAUACGGAGUAAGAAGCAUACGAGGUUGAGCUCUGAUGGAGUGGAGUGUGCUGAAUCAACUAUCUUAUCCUACUACUGUAUGCCGAAUAAAGAAAUCUACCCUACUAGUGUGUACUACUCUCGGAGGUUCAUGUCUUCAUACAUGUAACCGCGUUCCAGUCGCUUCCGCUGUUUUAUUCCAUAAAUUGAGAUCCCUAUUUCUAAAGAAACUCUGAUGUGUGCUAUGUUGUAUUGUAAGAACCUUAACUCGAUUUUGCAUAAUCGAGUAUUGAUUAAGCGAGUAUUGUGUGUGAAAAUCCUUUUUAUCUAAA